UCAACACGUUCAUGUUCUAAUUGAAUUUUACGUACAUGCACUCUACAUCAACACCCAUAGAGAGUGGUGAGAUGAAAGAUUAAAGCUAUUCCUCCCUUGCUCCUGCGGGAUAAUAAAUACGCAAGAUGAGUACCUAUAUUAAUAAAUGUCAGAUUGCCAUUUUUAAAUAUAAAGAUCAUAUUCAGUCAAAAAUCUAGAGAUUGAAUUAUUAUUACAGGACCAAAAAUAUUAUUAAGCUUUAGAGGUAACUUCGUCUUUUUAAAUAAUUUAAAAAAUAAAGUGUUUCUGUACAUAAUUUAGUAGGACCGAAAGAUACACCUUUCUGUUGUAGCUUUCUUUAUUUUGUGAUGUUUGAUCUCUUGUUCCAAGCUCUUCAAGUUCGAAUGAAGGGAAAGGGUAUAUGUAAAAGGUACUCCAACACUCAAUGACUUUGCGUGAAAAUAAUGAUAAUAUUCAAUAGAGAGUAAGUAUUCAUAAUUAAUUCAAAGUUGUUUACCUUUGCGACUUAACCAAGUUAUUUUAUGGACACUAAACUGUCAUAGGUCCACCAAAACGAUCUUACCUUUUAAUUUUCGUCGGUUACUCAUUAACAGCUUUCUUAACCUGCAAUCAGUUAUCAAUAUUUUUAAUCAUUAUGUUAUUAGUUUAUUAACUUAUUUUAUUUGUUCAAUCCAUUGACCCAAUAACAAUGUCUUAAACGCUGACCCAAUUAUGACCUAACAUAAUAUCUUGGGGGUUACUCCCUACACCUCCCCAUUUGCUGCCUCCACCUCCUCAUUUAUUUUUUACCUUUCAUUCUAUUUUUUUAUUCCUAUUCUAUCCUUUUAAUAUAAGUUUACUUUAGAUUAAAAUUUUAUAAUUUUUACUCACUAUAAUUAUUUCAUUCUUACUCGUUAGUCAUCGUGGUUCCUCUUCUCUUUGCUGUGAGAAUUUAGUGAGUGAAAGAUUAGUGAAAAAAAUUAUUUUAAGAAUUACAAAAAUUCAUCUCUCUAUUGAAGGUAGUGGUGCUCUGAAAACUUCUGGGUGAAUAAACGUCAGUAACCCUUCACAAAAAUAAACCAGUACGUAACUUAAACGGAUAUGAGUAUCCGUCUACGGAUGUCAACUUCCGUUUCGCUAUGCUAAGGUUCCUUUUAGGUCCCAACUUUUGAGUAAUGUGUACGUUGCAGAGGUUGGUUAAUGGCAGUAAAAAAAAAGAAUGAAAAUCUAAAUUUAAAAAAUUGAAUUUUGGGAUGAAGUCAAGAGGAAAAAGCUGAUCAAUGAUGCCGCAGUUGAAAGCAAAAUGCCAAAUACUACGAUUCAGAAUUUUGGAAACUGAGGUUUGACAGCUAAUUCUCUUUUUUAAUCCUUAAGAUCCUCAAUCAUUCAUCUUCCACUUUACCCAAUUACAUUUUACUAUUCAAGUUUUAAUCUUCAACAACAUUGCUUCAAAAGGGUACUUUUAAAUUCUGUAGAAUGAACUCAAAUUGUGUAUUUAUUUAAAGUAAAGUUGCUUCAACAAAGACGAAGCACUAACCGUCGCGAACCAUCCAAUGUAAACAGUGAAACACCACCGCACACAACAAUAGGGCACAACACCGCACCGCAUCACAGCAACGCACCACCACACUGCACCACAGCAACGCACCACCGCACCGCACCGGAGAGCAAAGUAAAGUUUGGAGAGUUUGGAUGAGAAGAAGAGUCAUAAAGUUGGAAGAAGAAGGGACAGAUCUAAAAUUUGGGGAGGUGUGGGCUGUGAGGCUCUGAGGAGAAUAAAAAUAAAUUAUAUAGCUUCAGGGUUUCUCC
rnacentral:lncRNA from 1 species